AUUGAACGCUGGCGGCAGGCCUAACACAUGCAAGUCGAGCGGAUGAAGGGAGCUUGCUCCUGGAUUCAGCGGCGGACGGGUGAGUAAUGCCUAGGAAUCUGCCUGGUAGUGGGGGAUAACGUCCGGAAACGGGCGCUAAUACCGCAUACGUCCUGAGGGAGAAAGUGGGGGAUCUUCGGACCUCACGCUAUCAGAUGAGCCUAGGUCGGAUUAGCUAGUUGGUGGGGUAAAGGCCUACCAAGGCGACGAUCCGUAACUGAUCUGAGAGGAUGAUCAGUCACACUGGAACUGAGACACGGUCCAGACUCCUACGGGAGGCAGCAGUGGGGAAUAUUGGACAAUGGGCGAAAGCCUGAUGCAGCAAUGCCGCGUGUGUGAAGAAGGUCUUCGGAUUGUAAAGCACUUUAAGUUGGGAGGAAGGGCAGUAAGUUAAUACCUUGCUGUUUUGACGUUACCAACAGAAUAAGCAACGGCUAACUUCGUG
rnacentral:rRNA from 1 species